rnacentral:rRNA from 1 species
CAAUAGCGUAUAUUUAAGUUGUUGCAGUUAAAAAGCUCGUAGUUGGAUUUUGGGUUGGGGCGACCGGUCCGCCGUUUCGGUGUGCACUGGUGUCCCCUUCUUUUCUGCCGGGGACGGCGUUUGCUCUUAAUUGGGCGGCGUCGGAGUCGGCGUUGUUACUUUGAAAAAAUUAGAGUGUUCAAAGCAAGCCAUCGCUCUGAAUACAUUAGCAUGGAAUAACAUGAUAGGACUCUGGUCUUAUUUUGUUGGUUUCCGAGACUGGAGUAAUGAUUAAGAGGGACAGUCGGGGGCAUCCGUAUUUCAUUGUCAGAGGUGAAAUUCUUGGAUUUAUGAAAGACGAACUUCUGCGAAAGCAUUUGCCAAGGAUGUUUNCAUUAA